GACAGAGGGUGCAAACGUUGUUCGGAAUUACUGGGCGUAAAGCGCGUGUAGGCGGCCCUGUAAGUCGGGUGUGAAAUCCCACGGCUCAACCGUGGAAGUGCAUUCGAAACUACAGGGCCAGAGUUCUGGAGAGGAAGGUGGAAUGCUUGGUGUAGAGGUGAAAUUCGUAGAUAUCAAGCGGAACACCGGUGGCGAAGGCGGCCUUCUGGACAGUAACUGACGCUGAGACGCGAAAGCGUGGGGAGCAAACAGG
rnacentral:rRNA from 1 species